AGUUAUCUCAGUAGUAAGGAGCAGGGAAAUAGAGCAUCAUUUUCUUAAUAGAAGAAGGAUAACUUUAGCUUUUAUUUUUUGUACCAUUAAAACUGCUAUUAAAAUUGUUACUAGUUAACAUUUAGUUAGAUAAUUACUGUAUCACUGACAUCUGAUUUUUAAGAUGUAUUUACAUACUAUUGAAACUGAGUGCUAUUUUGCCAUUAAUGCUGCUGCUUUGCCAACAAAGAGAGAAUCGAAACUAACUGAAUGUAUUAAUAAUUUUACAAUGGGAUGCUACACUUUUUGAUACAGUAGAUUAUUGACAUUUGUAAGGCAUAUAUCUUAAAGUCUUUGUGAGUUCACAAAUUCUUUGCCACCUAGAGCACACGAUUAUCUCAGUUUCUUCCUCAGUAAAGAAAGGAGUACUUACUGAGUGUGAGGGGCAAAAGAUGUCCAGCAUCAAUAAGAGAAGAGUAAAAUGACAGUGAGAAGCAAAUGCUUGGAUCUAAUAAACUAGGCUCAGGCUUGAGGGAGGUGAUUUGCUUUCACAUACUAAUGUUUCCACUUCACAAUCAUGCUUCCCAGAAACACUGCAAUUUAUCUUGGAUCUCCAUGGUUACUAAGAAAUUGAUAAAAGGAUUAAUAUUGCAUCUGCAAAGUCCCUGCAUCUACUGUGUAUAAAAAUGAUUUAUCUUGUUUAAUAUAAAUGUUUUCUGUAGACAUAAACCAUCUCAAUCUCUUUGAUUUUUAUUAACAUAUUGAUUGAAAUAAAUGUUUUUGUUUAAAAAUAUUAACAUUGUACUUAAGAGAUAAAGUGUUAUGUACCUCAAAUAGAAGUGUGUAAUGUUGUACAUUAUCUAUUGCCCAUUUUCAAAUUUCC
rnacentral:lncRNA from 1 species